AGCAAAAUUCGUGCCUAUACAAACUCAAUAUCGAACCCUGUUGCUACAAUCACAAUCCAAGGAACAGUAAUUGGAGAUAAAAAUGCUCCAAUAGUUGCUGCAUUUUCUUCUCGCGGACCAAGUAAACCUAAUCCUGGGAUCUUGAAACCUGACAUAAUUGGUCCUGGUGUUAAUAUCCUCGCUGCUUGGCCUACUUCUGUGGAUGACAACAAGGACACCAAAUCCACAUUCAAUAUUAUAUCAGGCACCUCGAUGUCUUGCCCACACCUUAGUGGGGUAGCAGCUCUGCUGAAGAGAACACAUCCUGAUUGGUCUCCUGCUGUUAUUAAGUCUGCAAUGAUGACAACCGCUGACACAUUAAACCUUGCCAGUAGUCCAAUACUCGACCAAAGGCUCCGUCCUGCUGAUAUCUAUGCAAUAGGUGCAGGACAUGUUAAUCCAUCGAGGGCAAAUGAUCCAGGACUAGUUUAUGAUACCCCAUUUGAGGAUUAUGUACCUUAUUUAUGUGGUUUGAACUACACAAAUCCACAGGUAGGUAAAUUGUUACGACGCAGGGUGAAUUGCUCGGAGGUUGAAAGUAUCCCUGAAGCACAAUUAAACUAUCCUUCAUUUUGCAUAUCGAGACUUGGAUCAACUCCUCAGACAUACACCAGAACUGUGACCAAUGUUGGUGAUGCCAAAUCAUCUUACACGGUGCAGAUAGCUUCACCUAAAGGCGUUGUCGUGAAAGUUAAGCCCAGCAAGCUAAAUUUCUCGGAGUUGAACCAGAAGCUAACAUACCAAGUGACAUUUUCCAAGACAAUUAACAGCUCAAUGUCUGGGGUUGUUGAGGGAUUCUUGAAGUGGAAUUCUAACAGGCACUCUGUGAGAAGUCCAAUUGCAGUUGUGUUGGCAUUGGCUAAGUAAGUGCACAAAGUAUUCAAACAUUUGAAAAUGCUGUUUGAUUACACAAUAAACGUUCUGUUACUUUUUUCAUUGUUAAAACAAUAAACUUUAUGUUCACAGCUGAUUGAAGAAAGCAAAAGCAUAUCCUCUUUGAUAUUAGUGUCCUUGCUCUGCUUAACUUUUCUUCUUGAUUUCAUUUUUGUUCGACAAAUAAAGUGACUUCUCGAGAUAAUAAAUAUUAGUUAAGUGACCGAGUAAGAAUCUCAGUUCAUACUUAAAUUUGGGAAAUUUGUUGUCACCUACAUAAUAACACACCCUUUGAUCCAGAAUAUUGACAGUGACUUCAAAUAUAAAGUCUUAGUCUUUGGUGACUUCAAAAAGUAAUUGUGACGUCAAUGCUAAAAUUAUUAAUAGGACAAUUAAAAUAAUGGAGACAUAUCCUAUGAAUUUCCUAGAAAUCGAUUGAACUUUUAUUUUUUAACAUAUUAUUGAAGGGGACUAAUGUACAUCAUCCAUGGUACAUAUUGUCUUGCAAAGAAAUGAAAUUAACCAAUACAUAUUUUGUUUUGUUAUAAUUUUCAAAAAAAGAAAAAAAAGAACUAGAAUUAUAGAAUGCAUUGUUGCUAUUUGCGUGUGGCCCAUCAUGUAUUGGUGGCAUUAUUAUACUAAGAAAUGAAUUUUCCCUACCUAAACCCUUACAACUAGUUAUUAGAGUAAGGGUUGUUUAAAUUCAUAUAAAGAGAUGUUCUCAUUCUUAAUAAUUUUUCUACUCGCCAAGUGAAAUGAAAUGAAUCAAGAAUUAGGAUGAAUAUAACUCUAAUAUAAUUAGAAAUGAUUUUUUCGUACCUAAACCCUUAAAACUAGUUAAUAGAGUAAGGAUCGUUGAAAUCUACAUAAAUAGAUAUUCUCAUUCUUAAUCAACCCCUUUAUGCACGCCCAAUGAAAUUGAAUUAAAUAAAAAAUUAGAUGAAUUUAUCUCGCUUUAAAAAGUACCAACUUUUUUUACCUUGGUCCACUUUGAUUGAAUAAGUCAUUUUUCUAAUGUUCUUAUCGCAUUGAAGUGCAUGGAUGAGCCUUUUCUCAACUGUAAAUAACAUAGAUAAGUCAAACUUUUAACGAAUAUCAUGUAUAAGACCUUUCAUAAAGCUUGGCGAUAUUUUAAGGCUUUUCCUUUUAAGGAAAAAAAAUAAAUUAUUUUUAACGGAUGUCAUAGAUGAGCCAUUAAUUAAAGCUCGAUGACAUAUUUGACUCUUUUCCCUUUUAGGGAAGAAAAGAAAAUAAAGAAGAAUAAAACUAUAGAAUAUAGUUCAAUUUAGCUAGUCUCAUUCACACUACUAACCUUUCUUUUCUUCUCCACAUGGUCUUUUUGCCACAAUAUAAUAGUUUUUUUUCUAGAAAUUGAAUAGGUCACUAACAAAACACUAUAAAUAGAGUUGCUUCAAAGCAGAUAAAUUCAUCAAAUAAACUUUCUAAAAACAUAAUCAGUUCUUGUAUUAGCAGCCAUGGGAUUCUUGAAAAUAUUUCUUGUUUUCAUCUUUUGUUCUUUCCCAAGGCCUACUAUUCAGAAUGAUCUCGAGACUUAUAUAGUCCAUGUUGAAUCUCCUGAAAGCGUAAUUUCUACACAAUCAUCGGUAACGGAUUUAGAUAACUAUUAUCUAUCUUUUUUGCCUAAAACUACAACAAUCAGCUCAAGUGAAAAUGAAGAGGCUGCUAGCAUGCUCUAUUCCUAUCACAAUGUGAUGAAAGGGUUUGCAGCAAGAUUAACAGCAGCACAAGUGAAGGAAAUGGAGAAUAAACACGGCUUUGUCUCUGCUCAGAAACAGAGGAUUUUCACCUUGCAUACUACUCAUACUCCGAACUUUCUCGGUUUGCAACAGAACAUGGGCUUGUGGAAGGAUUCCAACUAUGGGAAAGGCGUGAUCAUCGGAGUUAUAGACACUGGAAUUUAUCCUGACCAUCCUUCAUUUAGCGACUUUGGGAUGCCUCCUCCGCCUGCUAAGUGGAAAGGAGUUUGUGAGUCUAAUUUCAAAACCAAGUGUAACAACAAGCUCAUUGGAGCGAGGUCUUACCAAAUUGCUAACGGUUCCUUGAUAGAUGAUACUGGACAUGGUACACACACAGCAGGCACAGCUGCAGGAGCCUUUGCAAAAGGUGCUAAUGUAUUUGGGAAUGCUAAUGGCACUGCUGUUGGUGUUGCCCCUCUUGCCCACCUAGCCAUAUAUAAGGUUUGCAAUUCUGAUGGCGAGUGUCCUGACUGUGAUAUUUUAGCUGCCAUAGAUUCAGCUAUAGAUGAUGGAGUAGAUAUUCUUUCAAUAUCCUUGGGUGGAUCUCCGAGCCCUUUCUAUGAUGACUGUAUCGCUCUUGGGGCAUACAGUGCAACAGAAAGAGGCAUUCUUGUAAGUUCUUCUGCAGGCAAUGAAGGUCCUUCUGUUGCCUCAGUGGAAAAAGCAGCCCCGUGGAUUCUUACAGUAGGUGCCAGCACACUUGAUAGAAAGAUAAAAGCUACUGUUAAUCUCGGAAAUAGAAAGAAAUAUGAAGGAGAAUCAACUUAUCGUCCAAAGAUUUCCAGCUCAACAUUCUUCACUCUAUAUGAUGCUGCAAAAAAUGCAAGUGAAACUCCUUAUUGCAGACCAGGAUCACUAACUGACCCUGCUGUAAGAGGAAAGAUAGUAUUAUGUCUACAAGAUGAUAUUGUUUCCAAUAUUGAAAAAGGACAAGCUGUGAAGGAUGCUGGAGGUGUUGGCAUGAUUAUCAUCAACCAGCCAAGUUACGGUGCCACUAAAUCAGCUGAUGCUCAUGUUCUUCCAGCAAUGGAUGUUUCAGCUGCAGAUGGAACAAAAAUCAUUUCCUAUAUGCACUCAACAUCAAACCCUAUUGCUAGAAUCACAUUCCAUGGAACAGUAAUUGGAGAUAAAUAUGCUCCCAUUGUAGCUGCAUUUUCUUCUCGCGGACCAAGUGAAGCUAGUCCUGGAAUCUUGAAACCUGACAUAAUCGGUCCUGGUGUUAAUAUCCUUGCUGCUUGGCCUACCUCUAUGGAUGGCAACAAAAACACCAAAUCCACAUUCAAUAUUAUAUCAGGCACCUCAAUGUCUUGCCCUCACCUUAGUGGCGUAGCAGCUCUGCUGAAAAGCACACAUCCUGAUUGGUCUCCUGCUGCUAUAAAGUCUGCAAUCAUGACAACCGCUGACACGUUAAACCUUGCCAAUAGUCCAAUACUAGACGAAAGACUCCUUUUUGCUGACAUCUAUGCAAUUGGUGCAGGACAUGUUAAUCCAUCGAGGGCAAAUGAUCCAGGACUAGUUUAUGAUACUCCAUUUGAGGACUAUGUAGCUUAUUUGUGUGGUUUGAACUACACAAAUCCACAGGUAAGUAAACUCUUACAACGCAAAGUGAAUUGCUGGGAGGUUGAAAGUAUCCCUGAAGCACAAUUAAACUAUCCUUCAUUUUCCAUAUCCGGACUUGGAUCAACUCCUCAGACAUAUACCAGAACAGUUACCAACGUUGGUGACGCCGAAUCAUCUUACAAAGUGGAGAUAGCUUCACCAAAAGGUGUUGUCGUGGAAGUUGAACCCUCCGAGCUGAAUUUCUCCGAGUUGAACCAGAAGUUAACAUACCAGGUAACGUUUUCCAAGACAAUCAGCAGCUCACAGCCUGAGGUUGUUGAGGGAUUCUUGAAGUGGAAUUCUAAUACGUACUCUGUGAGAAGUCCAAUUGCAGUUGUGUUAGUAUUGACUACAUAAGUGCAGAAAAUGCUGUUUGUUUUCACUGUAUACUUUAUUUUACUUUUUCAAUCUUUUAUUACUAUUUUGAUUUUCACUGGUCUUUAAUAAUUUUAUCAUUAUGAAAUAUUGUUUCAAUGUUUGUUCACAGCUGAUUAAAUAAUAUGAAACCAUUGCUUUUCCUUUAUCAUUACAUUUUAUAUAUUUAUUUUCUUUUCUUUCUUGAUUUCAUUAUGUUCAUAGAAAAAAAAACGACUUUUUGAGAUAAUAAACAUAAGGUGAGUGACCAUGUGAGAAUUUUUGUUAUUACUCGAAUCUGAGAAAUUUGUUGUUAGUUACCUAAUAAUGUAGCCUUUAAUCAUGACUCCGAAUCUUGAUUGUGACAUACUUACUUCUAUUUUUCUUAUAUGAAUAACUUGAUUAAAAUGUAAUUAUCUUCGAGAAUAAAAAGUUUGUUAUGUUUAAUACCUUUAGUUUGACCGGUAUCGAUCUUAAUUGUAGUUUCUUUUCAUUAGCAAAUUGCCUAACGCUCUUUUUUUUUUUUUUUUUUUGUGAACAAUGUAUCUUAUUGUUGUGAUAUUAUUAACCAUGUGAUUUAUUUGAAGUGUUUUAUUGAUCCCUGGUAAAGAUUAGUUGUUUUAUUUUAUUUAUUAUAAUAAAGUUUCUAAUUGAUUAAGUUAUUAUGUUUAUAUGUGACUCCUUUGUUUAGUAAAUGAUUUUGUGUAUGAAGUUAUUUAAUUCAUACACAGAAUAUUAAAAUUGUCGGUUCUUGUAAGUUACUAUCAUUGUUCACAAUCAAAGAUGAGGUAGGACAGAAUAUUGAUGCUUGUAUCACAAGAUUAAAAAUAAUUCGAUCUUAAUUAUGAGUAAUUCUAACUUCUUGUAUUAGUACAUUUUUUUAUGUAUUAAAUGAACCAAAUAGUGAUAUUAUUUUUUAUUCUAAUAUUAAUAAACAAUAUCUUUAGUCCAUUACAUGAACUGAUAUUCUUAAUUUAAUAUAAUUAUUAUGAUCUAUGUAGUUUAAUUUAUUAUUUUAAUCUAUUAAAAUGUGAGACUCUAUUACGAGUCAAUAUAUUUUUAAUAGAUUGAAUAAUGAAAAAUCACAUAAAUAAAUAAUAAUUGAUUAAUAUAACCAUGUCUCAAAUUUGAGAUAGAAGAUACCCCAUUAUAAUUACUUAUAAGUUUUUCAUAUCAGACCCAGGAUUCGAUUUUCAUGUGAGACCCAGGAUUCGAGAUAAGAGAUAAGUUAAGUAUAAAAUAGAGGGUUAAACUAGUUAGUUAAUUAAAAUUUUUUCUGAAGUUUAUUUUAAUUGAUUAGUAUCGAUAAAUUUAAUGUGGAAAAUUAAAUAAAUUGUAGUAGUAAAUUUCGAAAUUAAAUUGCGAAGUAUAAUUACAAAUUUUAUUGGUACAAACUGCAAUAUGUAAUUUUAUUAAAAUAUGGUUAAUUCAUGUUUUUAUGAACUAAUAUUAUAAUGGAAAUUUACGAUACUAAAAUUGUGAUUUAUGUUGUAUUUGACUAAUUGAUAAGUUCAACAACCAUUAUGGAACAAGUAUUUCUUUUAUUUUUGUCAUGAAUGAAUUAAUAACUUUAUUUUGUUCAGUGCCGAGUUAACUGACACAGAAGAUUAAUGACAGAAUCAUUUUUUCUUUUCCGACCUUUUAAUUUUUGCCUUGUUCAUUCGAAUGAAAAUCCACGAAAAAUUAUAAAUUUUCUAAAAACAUUUUUACCAAAUCAACUAGGGAAACAAAAAAAUGGAGUAUGGAGCCUAAAGGGUACAAAAUAUUAAUAAAAAUUUCAAAAUGGUAUAUAAAAUUUUAUAUUAACCAAAACAGUAAAAUCGCUGUAUCAACAGCUAUUUACUUCCCCGGAAAAAGCAAAAUCGCUGCUUUUUUUUUUAAAAAAAAAUGAAAUCGCUACCUAGGCAGCGAUUUUUAAAAAAAGAUUUUUUUUUUAAAUGGGGAAGUCGCUGCCUGGGCAGCGACUUUUAUAAAAAAAAAUAUUUUGAAAUGUGCAAGUCGCUGCCCAGGCAGAGACUUGUAUAAUUUUUUUUAAAAAAAUUUUAAUUUUUUUUCUUAAAAUAAAUGUGGAAUUUUUUUUAAAAAAAAAUUCUUUUUAAAGCAGCAAUUUUAUAAGAUAAAAAAAAAGUUAUAAUAUCUUUUUUUAUAAAAUUGCUACUUUAAAUUUUAUUUUUUUAAAAUAAUUAUUUAUGGAAAAUCGCAGCGAUUUUCAUAUUUUAAAAAAAAAUUAUAAAUUCGCUAACUGAUUUACAUAUUUUUUAAAAAAAAUUAUAAAUCGCUGCGUAGGCAGCGAUUUAAAAAAUUUAUAAUUUUUUUUAAAAUAUGAAAAUCGCUGUGAUUUUCCAAAAAUAUUACCCAAUUUAUAAAUUUAUAAAUUUUUUAAAUCGCUGCGAUUUUCCACAAAUAUUUUUUUUAAAAAAAUAAAAUUUAAAGUAAAAUUAUAAAAUUAUUGCUUUAAAAAGUCUUUUUUUUUAAUUUCCACAUUGUUUCCACAUUUUUUUAAAGAAAAAAAAUUAAAAAUUUCAAAAAAAAUAAAAAAUUAUACAAGUCGCUGCCCAGGCAGCGACUUUGCACAUUUCAAAAAAAAAAAAUUUUAUAGACUUCCUCAUUUAAAAAAAAUUCUUUUUUUUUAAAAUCGCUGCCUAGGCAGCGACUUUUUUUUAAAAUAAAUUAAAAUCGCUGCCUAGGUAGCGAUUUCAUUUUUUUAAAAAAAAAAUUCACAUUUUGCAAAAUCGCUGCCUCGGCAGUGAUUUUGCUUUUUCGGGGAUGUAAAUCGUUGUUGAUGCAGCGAUUUUGCCGUUUUGGUUAAUAUAAAAUUUUAUAUACCGUUUUGAAAUUUUUGUUAAUAUUUUGUACCCUAAAGGGUCCGUACUCCAAAAAAAAUGUAGCAUUAAAUGGUAUUAUAUUUAGUUAUAAUGUGAAUUCAUGAUAUUGAAUAAUAUUUUUUCUCUUCAAAUUCUAACCCUUAUACUAGUCAUACGUCUAUUCUCUUAAUUGCUACAAGUAAUAUAACGAGAUAGGAUUCUUUUUUCGAGUUGCAAGUGGUGAACUUUUUGGAACAAAAUGAGAAAUUACGAAAAACAAUGUUCACUAUUUAAAUUUUAUGGUCACAUUUUGGCAGAACAUACAUAUUUAGUUUAAAGAGAAAAAUCAAAUAAUUUGCAUGCCUGAUUCAAUUCGGUGGCAACACCAUAAUUUUAGUGAAAUAACAAUUAAACUACUAAAAAUAUUAAAGAAUGUAAUACAUAACUCACAAUGUCAUGGAACAUUUCCAAAGUCAAGAAAAUAUUAAAAAAUAUUAUCUGUAUUUUUAGUAUCUAAAUUAAUAUAGUCCAUAAUGUUUUAAAGUAUAGAUAUGUAGCUAUUGAAAAAUGAUUAAUUAAGCUAUAAUAAUUUUAAAAAAAUAAUUUGGACGUGUCUAAAUCUUGAUCAUCCUAUCUUAAAGGGGCCAGGUGUAACGUCUCUUUCUCAUGCUUAAUAAAUUUAUAGUUUACUCUUAAAUAAUUUAUUUAUUUAUUUUUGUAAGAAAAACAUAUUAUCCUAUUGAAGAUGAAGUUAUGACUUUUGGAGAAUAUAAGUAAUGUACACUAGAUAUAUGAUACAAUUACCCAAACACAGAAUCUAAAAUUUUAACUUAAUGAGUUUUAUUUUUAAAGUUCUUAACAUUGAGUUCACUACAAUUUUAAAAUUAUGGUUGAUUUUGUCAAAUUAUUGGAAAAGAUCAAAACUUAUACAUAAAACUAAUUAGAAGUUAUUAUAUUUUAUUAUAGAAGUAGUUAACAUCAGCCUGUUGGGAUUUUUAAAUUUUGUUGAAAUUCCCUAUCACUAUCUCAGCGUUAGUUAAGAGGGAUGCAAUAGGGGAAUGUUAAAUGUACAUGUAUUAUACAAUUUUGGGGAAAAGCUAAUAACAUUAUUUCAAGUCAUAUUGUACUUUUAUUAACUUUUAUUAGUAUUAUUAUUAUAGUUCUGGUGUCUAGAUUAAUUUAUCGUACCUCAACUAAUUUCACAUCAUACUAGGUCAAAAUUCUAUUGUGGCAUCCGAAAGUAUUAGAAGGUAGCAUGUGGCGAUUGAGGCUAGUCAACUCCAGCUCAACAAUGCUCAGUUUGACUAAGUGCUCACUCAAAAGGCAAAAGUUAUGGCAGAGAUUGUGGGUUAUCCUAGGGUUCCAAGCUCUCAAGUGAUUUUUUUGGAUAUAUUUCUAGACUUUUUUAGGUCCCCGCAAGGAUGACCUAACGAUCGAGCCAUCACACAUUGGAGUAACCUUCUAGAGAUAUCAGGUUAAAAACUCAGCUACUAUACACUAGGUGUGUGAGUCCGUUAGCUCUAACAUAUAUGAACACCUUGGCAAAAAUCACGUCCAUUAAGAAAUCAACAAACAUAAUGUGUAGUUUACUAAACUACCCUUGUUAUAUACUUCUCUUAAAAAUUGAACACUAUUAAUAUAAGGGUCUGGUUGAAAAACAUACUAAUUUUCGUCUUGAAUUUUUAACGUCACACUUAUUUUGGGACGGAGUGAGUACUUGUGAGAUGAACAAGACACCUCAUGUAUUAGUUAAGUCAUGCUCAAGUUGGCUUGAACACUACUUAAAAAGUAUAUUGUAGAUUAAUGACUUCAUCUAUAUGAUGUUGCUAUGCCAACUUCAUUAAAAAAAUAGAAGUUAAGUAUAAUAAAAUCGUUUUAGCGUAUAGAAUGACCAAUUCACAUUCUAUUUUCUAUUUAAUCCAAGAAUGACUAUUUCACAUUUCUAAAACUACCUUCUGACUUGCAAAUAAAAAAAUAAACUUCCAAUUUGUAUAUAUAGCCUCAAUGAAAAUUCAAAAAACACACACCACCAAAUAACAUCUCUUUCUUUAGUAGUAAAAUUAUGAUGGCUCAAUACAGUUCAGUUCUUACUAUAAUUGGGCUGAUUUGUGUGCUCUUUUCAUUUACUACUCAUGCAGCUGAACAGAACAAUUCACAAAUCUAUAUUGUUCAUUGUGAGUUCCCUUCUGGGGAAAGGACUGCAGAAUACCAAGAUUUAGAAAGCUGGUAUCUUUCUUUCUUGCCUACAACAACCUCCGUUAGUUCUCGUGAGGCACCACGUUUGAUAUAUUCCUAUCGAAAUGUCUUAACAGGCUUUGCAGCUAAGUUAUCAGAAGAAGAUAUAAAGGAAAUGGAAAAAAAGGAAGGAUUUGUUUCUGCACGCCCCCAGCAGUUUGUUAGUUUACACACCACACAUAGUGUCAAUUUCUUGGGAUUGCAACAGAACAUGGGGUUCUGGAAAGACUCUAAUUAUGGGAAAGGUGUGAUCAUCGGAGUUCUAGACACUGGAAUUCUUCCUGACCAUCCUUCAUUUAGUGACGUUGGGAUGCCUACCCCACCUGCUAAGUGGAAAGGAGUUUGUGAGUCAAAUUUUAUGAACAAGUGUAACAAAAAGCUCAUUGGAGCGAGGUCUUACCAACUUGGCAAUGGUUCCCCGAUAGAUGGUAAUGGACACGGUACACACACAGCAAGCACAGCUGCAGGAGCCUUUGUGAAAGGUGCUAAUGUAUAUGGCAAUGCUAAUGGAACUGCAGUUGGUGUUGCACCUCUUGCCCAUAUAGCCAUAUAUAAGGUAUGUGGUUCCGAUGGCAAGUGUUCUGACAGCGAUAUUUUAGCUGCCAUGGAUUCAGCUAUAGAUGAUGGAGUAGAUAUUAUUUCAAUGUCCCUUGGUGGAGGUCCAGUCCCUUUCCAUAGUGACAAUAUUGCUCUCGGGGCAUACAGUGCAACAGAAAGAGGGAUUCUUGUAAGUGCCUCUGCUGGAAAUAGUGGUCCAUCCCUUAUCACAGCAGGGAACACCGCCCCUUGGAUUCUUACGGUAGGCGCCAGCACUACUGAUAGAAAGAUAAAAGUUACUGUUACACUUGGAAAUACAGAGGAAUUUGAAGGGGAAGCUUCUUAUCGUCCACAGAUUUCCGACUCAAAAUUCUUCACUCUGUAUGAUGCUUCAAAAGGUAAAGGUGAUCCAUCUAAAACCCCUUACUGCAAACCAGGGUCACUCACUGACCCUGCAAUAAAAGGAAAGAUAGUCAUAUGUUAUCCAGGUGUCGUUUCUAAGGUUGUAAAAGGACAAGCUGUGAAGGAUGCUGGAGGUGUUGGUAUGAUUGCCAUCAACCUGCCAGAAGAUGGUGUCACAAAAUCAGCUGAUGCUCAUGUUCUUCCAGCUUUGGAGGUUUCAGCUGCAGAUGGAAUCAGAAUUCUUACUUAUACAAACUCAAUAUCAAACCCUACAGCUAAAAUCACAUUCCAAGGAACAAUAAUUGGAGAUGAAAACGCUCCCAUAGUUGCUUCAUUUUCUUCUCGCGGACCAAAUAAACCUAGUCCUGGCAUCUUGAAACCUGACAUAAUCGGUCCUGGUGUUAAUAUCCUUGCUGCUUGGCCUACCUCCGUGGAUGACAACAAAAAAACCAAAUCCACAUUCAAUAUUAUAUCAGGCACCUCGAUGUCUUGCCCUCACCUUAGUGGCGUAGCAGCUCUGCUGAAGAGCACACAUCCUGAUUGGUCUCCUGCUGCUAUUAAGUCUGCAAUCAUGACAACCGCUUACACUUUAAACCUUGCCAGUAGUCCAAUACUAGAUGAAAGGUUACUUCCUGCAGACAUCUUUGCAAUUGGUGCAGGACACGUUAAUCCAUCAAGUGCAAAUGAUCCAGGACUAGUUUAUGAUACCCCCUCCGAGGACUAUUUCCCGUAUUUAUGUGGUUUGAGGUACACAAAUGCACAGGUAAGUAAACUGUUACAACGCAAGGUAAAUUGCUUAGAAGUAAAGAGUAUCCCUGAAGCAGAAUUAAACUAUCCUUCGUUUUCCAUAUUUGGACUUGGAUCAACUCCUCAGACAUACACAAGAACUGUGACCAACGUUGGUGAUGUUGCAUCAUCUUACAAAGUGGAGAUAGCUUCACCUAUAGGAGUUGCCAUAGAAGUUGUACCCACAGAACUAAAUUUCUCCAAGUUGAACCAGAAGUUAACAUACCAAGUGACAUUUUCCAAGACAACCAGCAGUUCAGAAGUUGUGGUUGUUGAGGGAUUCUUGAAGUGGACUUCUACUAGGCACUCUGUGAGAAGUCCAAUUGCAGUUGUAUUGGUCUAGUGAAAAAUUGGCUAUAUAUAUAAGUGCAUAAAGUACUCGAACAUUUGAUUGUUUUACUGUAUACUCUAUGUUACUUUUUCAUUAUUAAACAAAGUGUUUCACUGUUUGUUCACAGCUGAUUGAAGAACAUAAAAGCAUAUCCUCUUUGAUAGAAGUCAUAUUUUCAUUGAUCGUUUCUUUUACUUUUUAUAUGUUCCAUUUUUUUAAGGGAAAAGGGUCCGAUAUACCCCUCAAUUUUGUCAUUUGGAGCUGAUAUAACUCUCGUUAUAAAAGUGGCUCAUAUAUGCCCUUACCGUUAUACAAACGGCUCACAUAUACCCCUGCCGUUACAAAAUGGCUCACAUAUACCCUUCAUUUAACGGAAGUUAAAAAAUUAGUUUUAAAUUUAUAUUUAUUACUUCUAAUUUUAAAAAAAAAAUUAUUUAGGGGUAUAUAUGAUUCUUUUAUCAAAGUUCAAGGUAUAUUUUAAUUUUUUUGAUACAUAAAUUAUUUUUUGACUUCUUUUAUUAUAAUUAUUUGAAUUUCUUAUUCUUAUUUUGUUUUUUCUUUCAUUCCUUAGUUUAAAGAAUAAAAAAAUUAAACUAUAUUUUUGUGUGUAUUGUAAUUUACUCUCGUAUUCGAAGAAAAAAUUUGAUCAUGUACAAUAAGUUUUACAAGAAUAUUAGUGAAACAUAAAUAAAUCUGAUUAUCAAAAUAAUAAUUAUAAAUUAGUCAUUGAAACAAAAAAAAAGUCAAAAAAAAUAUGUUUGAUGAGGAUUAAAUUUACUCAUAUGGGAUUAUAUUUUUUAGAAAAAAUAAUAAAAAUUUAGAUUAAAAUUAUUAUUUUUUUCAUUUCCGUUAGAGGAAAAGGGUAUAUGUGAGCCAUUUGUUUACAAGUAGGGUGGGGUAUAUAUGAGCCACUUUCAUAACAAGGGGUAUAUCAGCUCUAAAUGACAAAGUUGAAGGAUAUAUCAGACACUUUUCCCUUUUUUUUAAAGAAAGAGAGUUCAAAAAUGCCUGUUAAUCUCCAGACUCCAAUUAUAUAUUCCGUUUACAAAGCUAGCAUAUGUAAGAGUUGAGAAAACUUGAUAGCAUUCAUACGAAAAAUAGCUAUUGUCACGAACUUUCAAAUUCCAUUCGAAAACUCCAAGAUAAUGUCCUCAAAUUUCAGUUGUAAAUUUAGAACAUUACAAUCGUGUGACAUGACAUAAUUAUAUUUCUUCAACCCUCUAAUUAUGAAUAUUCUCAGGAGAAACUAAAAUCAGUAUUGAAUAUAUUAAUGAAACAGAAUGAUGCAUAUAGCGAUUUUAAAAAUAAUUUGGAAGUGUCUUCAUCUUGAUCAUCCCAUCUUGAAGAAGUCUGGUGUAAGGUCUAUUUCUCAUGCUUAGUAAAUUUAUAGUUGCAGAUGAGGUUGUGACUUUUCAGGAAUAUAAAUAAUCGUACACUAGAUAGAUGAUACAGUUGAAAGUUAUGAUUUAUAAUUUAAUGUUUAUGAAAAUUUCGGAAUAGGAUCAAUAUUAUCCUUAACUCUGCGAAAUAGACCACUGAUGAUGCCUUCCAUUACAUUUUGGGAUGAAAAGAUGUCCCUGCAGUUAUCCCCAACAGACCACAAGUAUCAUCAAGAGAUAACAACCCAAAUUUUUAGUGAUGUGGCAAGCCACGUGGAACCAAUCCCUUCACUUUACCGUUGACAAUUAAGAUUUACUACAAGAAACUGGACCCUUACCAGCGACUUUUGGAACUUUAUUGCGACUAUUAUCGCCGCUUUCCUAGUUGGCAACUCGUAGGUGGAGGGAUUAGUCUCACGUCACAAAAAAAAUUGGUUUGAUAACUUCUUAAGGUAUUUGUGGUCUCUUAGGAUAAUAACAAAGGUAUUUUUUAUCCCAAAAUAUGACCGAGGGUAUAAGUAAUCUAUUUCGAAUAGUUCAGGUUGACAAGCAUAAAUUUAGUUCAAAGAUUUCACGAUCUGUAGUUAAGGAGGCACCACACAUAUUUUUAUCUCAUUAAAACAAAAGGUCAACUUUAAGUGGUAAUGAUUUGAUUUUUUCAAUAUAUAUUGACAAGGCUCAAAAAUUAUAAAACUUAGAAGUUAAUCUUUUUUAUUAUAGAAAUACUUGACAUCAGACCUGUUGGGAUUUUUUAAACUUUAUUGUAAUUCCCUUUCACUAUCUCAGCGUUAGUUAAGAGGGAAUAUAUAAGGAAAUGUACAUGUAUUUUUCAAAUUUGGGGGAAAAGCUAAUGACAUUAUUGUUUGAGUUAUAUAGUACUUUCUUUUUAUUUUAAUUAUAUUUGUGGUGUAUGAGUUAACUUGUCGCACCUCCACUAAUUUUACAGGAGACUAUGUCAAAAUCUGAUGGUGGCAUCUGUAGUUUACUUAACUACCCUUAUUUUAUAAACAUCUCUUAAAAAUUGAACACUAUUAAGAAAAUGGAGUAUACAUGUAUCAUUCAAAAAGUCAUAUUAUUUUUUGUCUGAAAUCCCUAACAUCACACUUACUUUGGGACGGAGUGAGUACUCGGGAGAUGAACAAGACGCCUCAUGUAUUAGUUAAGGCGUGUUCAAGUUGACUCGAACAUUACUUAAGUAUAUUGUAGAUUGAUGACUUCAUCUAUAUGAUGUUGCUAUUCCAACUUCAUUAGCAAAUAGAAGUUAAGUAUAAUAAAUUUGUUUUAGCGUAUAGAUGACCAGUUCACUUUCUAUUUUCUAUUCAAUCCAAAGAUGACUAUUUCACUUUUCUAAAACUAACUUCUGACUUGCAAAUUAAAAAAUAACUUCCAAUGUGUAUAUAUAGCCUCAAUCAAAAUUCAAAAAGCACACACCAAAUAAUAUUUCUUUCUUUAGUACUAUGAUGCCUCAAUACAGUUCAAUUCUUACUAUAUUUGGGCUGAUUUGUGUGCUCUUUUUAUUUUCCACUAAUGCAACUGAACAGAACAAUUCACAAAUCUAUAUUGUUCAUUGUGAGUUCCCUUCUGGGGAAAGGACUUCCAAAUACCAAGAUUUAGAAAGCUGGUAUCUUUCUUUCUUGCCUGCAACAACCUCGGAUAGUUCUCGUGAGGCACCACGUUUGAUAUAUUCCUAUCGAAAUGUCCUGACAGGUUUUGCAGCUAAGUUAUCACAAGAAGAUAUAAAGGAAAUGGAAAAAAUGGAAGGAUUUGUUUCUGCGCGCCCCCAGCGGCUACUUAAAUUACACACCACACAUAGUGUCGAUUUCUUGGGGUUGCAACAGAACAUGGGGUUCUGGAAAGACUCGAAUUAUGGGAAAGGUGUGAUUAUUGGAGUUAUUGACUCGGGUGUUUUCCCAGAUCACCCCUCAUUUAGCGAUGUCGGGAUGCCACCUAUCCCUGCUAAAUGGAAAGGAGUGUGUGAGUCCGAUUUCGCGACCAAGUGUAACAACAAGCUCAUUGGAGCGAGGUCUUACCAAAUUGCUAAUGGUUCCCCAAUAGAUAAUGAUGGACAUGGUACACACACAGCAGGCACAACUGCAGGAGCCUUUGUGGAAGGUGCUAAUGUAUAUGGCAAUGCUAAUGGCACUGCUGUUGGUGUUGCCCCUCUUGCCCACAUAGCCAUAUAUAAGGUGUGUAAUUCUAAUAGUUGUUCUGACAGUGAUAUUUUAGCUGCCAUGGAUUCAGCUAUAGAUGAUGGAGUAGAUAUUCUUUCAAUGUCCCUUGGUGGAAGUCCAGUUCCUUUCUAUGAAGACAGUAUUGCUUUCGGGGCCUAUGCUGCAACAGAAAGAGGGAUUCUUGUGAGUUGCUCUGCUGGAAAUAGUGGUCCAUCCUACAUCACAGCAUCAAACACAGCCCCUUGGAUUCUUACGGUAGGAGCCAGCACUAUUGAUAGAAAGAUAAAAGCCACUGUUACACUUGGAAAUACAGAGGAAUUUGAAGGGGAAUCUGCUUAUCGUCCACAGAUUUCCGACUCUACAUACUUCACUCUAUAUGAUGCUGCAAAAAGUAUAGGUGAUCCAUCUGAAACCCCUUAUUGCAAACCAGGGUCACUCACUGACCCUGCAAUAAAAGGAAAGAUAGCCAUAUGUCAGGCAGGUGUCGUUUCAAAUAUUGAAAAAGGACAAGCUGUGAAGGAUGCUGGAGGUGUUGGCAUGAUUGUCAUCAACCCAUCACAAUAUGGUGUCACUAAAUCAGCUGAUGCUCAUGUUCUUCCAGCAUUGGUUGUUUCAGCUGCAGAUGGAAGCAAAAUUCUUGAUUAUACCAACUCAAUAUCGAACCCUAUUGCUACAAUCACAAUCCAAGGAACAGUAAUUGGAGAUAAAAAUGCUCCCAUAGUUGCUGCAUUUUCUUCUCGCGGACCAAGUAAACCUAAUCCUGGGAUCUUGAAACCUGACAUAAUUGGUCCUGGUGUUAAUAUCCUCGCUGCUUGGCCUACUUCUGUGGAUGACAACAAGGACACCAAAUCCACAUUCAAUAUUAUAUCAGGCACCUCGAUGUCUUGCCCAC
rnacentral:lncRNA from 1 species